CUCUUGCUACUCAAAUUGUGGCUGAGAACCAGCGACAUCCCAUCACCAGAAGCUUUAUAGAAAAGCCAGGCUCUGUCCCAGACCUAUUGAAAGGAGAUCUGCAUUUUAACAUGAUUGCGAGAGGAUCCACAUCUUAAAGUUUCAGAGGCCUAAUCCAAAGUCUUCUGAUAAUGAUCAUUAGAGUCCCAGCCACCCCCGACUUCCCCCUGGGAAAACCACAACAAAUAGAACAAAUUCCUCCAAGCUCUGCUCAUAAGAAGAACCCACAACCCACAGACACCCCCUCACUCAACUAGAGACCUCACCCACCUGUUUGCAGAGUCACCCACCUUGGGCUACUUCUUUUCUACUAUUUAAUCUUCUGGGAAAACAGAGGUCUUCUAUUUGGAGAUAAAAAUGACAAAGGAGAACCUCCUGAACAGCAUCCAGUUUGCUUUUAGCUUUAGCCAUCUCUCUGACCUCAGUGCUGCUGGACUCAGUUCCAAGAUCUAACUGUCAAAUGCUUUAGGGGAAACGGGAAGAGAAGUCCCUGGAGUAACCCAUGUGCGCAGCCUGGCACUGUUUUCACUUGCCUUUGGAAAUGAAGGUGCAGAAACCAUGGGAGGAACCUGAUGAAAUGCCUGGUCUAACAGGAGGAUGCAGAGAAAGUUAUGAAGAGAGUGGCUUCUAGAAGAGUGAGUCUGGAAAAUACUGCCCCUACUUUCAAAUGGGAGAAAGCCUCCCUUGUACUAAGUUUGCAAUCAUUAGAAAACUGUUGAUAUACAGCAAAAGAAACUACCAUCAGAGUGAACAGGCAACCUACAGAAUGGGAGAAAAUUUUUGCAAUCUACUCAUCUGACAAAGGGCUAAUAGCCAGAAUCUACAAAGAACUCAAACAAAUUUACAAGAAAAAACAAACAACCCCAUCAAAAAGUGGGCAAAGGAUAUGAACAGACACUUCUCAAAAGAAGACAUUUAUGCAGCCAACAGACACAUGAAAAAAUGCUCAUCAUCACUGGCCAUCAGAGAAAUGCAAAUCAAAAUCACAAUGAGAUACCAUCUCACACCAGUUAGAAAGGCAGUCAUUAAAAAGUCAGGAAACAACAGGUGCUGGAGAGGAUGUGGAGAAAUAGGAACACUUUUACACUAUUAGUGGGACUGUAAACUGGUUCAACCAUUGUGGAAGACAGUGUGGCGAUUCCUCAAGGAUCCAGAACUAGAAAUACCAUUUGACCCAGCCAUCCCAUUACUGGGUAUAUACCCAAAGGAUUAUAAAUCAUGCUGCUAUAAAGACACAUGCACACGUAUGUUUAUUGUGGCACUAUUCACAAUAGCAAAGACUUGGAACCAACCCAAAUGUCCAUCAGUGAUAGACUAGAUUAAGAAAAUGUGGCACAUAUACACCAUGGAAUACUAUGCAGCCAUAAAAAAGGAUGAGUUCAUGUCCUUUGUAGGGACAUGGAUGAAGCUGGAAACCAUCAUUCUCAGCAAACUAUCGCAAGGACAAAAAACCAAAUACUGCAUGUUCUCACUCAUAGGUGGGAAUUGAACAAUGAGAACACUUGGACACAGGAAGGGGAACAUCACACACUGGGGCCUGUUGUGGGGUGGGGGGAGGGGAGAGGGAUAGCAUUAGGAGAUAUACCUAAUGUAAAUGACGAGUUACUGGGUGCAGCACACCAACAUGGCACAUGUAUACAUGUGUAACAAACCUGCAUGUUGUGUACAUGUACCCUAGAACUUAAAGUAUAAUAAAAAAUAAAAAUAAUAAAAUGGAACCACGCAAAAAAAAGAAAACUGUUGAUAUAAUCUUAACAAUCAGAAGAGAAGUUGGUUACUCAUUUAAAUUACUGGUAAGAUUUUUGUAAGCCCUGUGACAAAACACAUAAAGUGAUGAAAAAUUCUUCCCCCGCAGAAAGAAUAGAAAAAGCCCUGGAGGAUCCAGGUCUAGUCUUAACUCUGUCAACUACUCCAGUACCUAUUAACCUUGAAGAGCUCACUUAGUUUCUCUAGGCUCAGUUUUUUCAACUCUAAAAUGAGAAGAAUACAUUAGAUUCCCUUUAGGAUAAAAAUGCAGUGUUUUGGCCUGGCACAGUGGCUCACGAACCUGUAAUCCCAGCACUUUGUGAGGCUGAGGCAGGUGAAUCUCUUGAGGCCAGAUGUUCGAGACUAGCCUGGCCAACAUGGCAAAACCCCAUCUCCACUAAAAAUACAAAAAUUAGCUGGGCAUGGUGGCGCACGCCUAUAAUCCCAUCUACUUGGGAAGCUGAGGCAGGAGAAUCACUUGAACCUGGAAGGUAGAGGUUGCAGUAAGCCGAGAUCACACCACUGCACUUUAGCUUGGGGACAGAGCAAGACUCUGUCUCAAAAACAAAACCAAACCAAAAUGCAGUGUUUUGACAAAAUAGCAUCAACAACAAAUAUUACCAAAGUUAAUAAAUUGGCCCUACAUAAAUAGGAUAUCUGCAUUAAAAAUGUAAAAUAUUUUCUGAAUGACCAAGCAAUUAAAUUAUAGAAAACUGCAAGCACAAACAAAUACACUUGUUAGAAAAAGCAUAAUUAUAGGAAAGUGCUAAAUUACAUUUGGAGGUUGAAAAGCCAUGAAAUGAUUCAGGCAGACACAAAUAAAAUAUAUGAAAUAAGAAGCACACAACAGUUGAGAUGUAGUCAUAGGCCUGCCCAACUUGUUGGACCAAACAAAAAAGGAAAAAAAUUGCUAUAUAAUAAAUGACUUGUCUUUUCCAUUCCUGAAAUAUGCACAACUGUCUGGAUCAUUGUGAUAUGAAUAUAAUGUCAGGUUAUCGCAAAUGGGAUCAAUGCAUAGUUGUUAGAAGGGAAUUGUGAAAUCUCCAGCUCUGAGCUCUUCUUCUGGAAGGGUGGAGAAAGAACAACAGCCAGUUUAUGAAACCAUUAGAAAGUAUUUAUAGGACCAUGCUUAUAUCAUUUCGUAAUAACUUACAUGUUAUUGUCUGCUUGUAUAUUGUGUGAUCUAAGAACAAUUUCCAAAUUAAAAUAUUGUAAUUGUUCCCAUUAAGUUUAUCUUGGCAGAUUUUUUUUUUUUUUUUUGAGACAAGAUCUUGAUCUGUCACCCAGGAUGGAGUGCAGUGGUGGCACAGUCAUGGGUCAUUGCAGACUCAAUAUCCUGGGCUCAAGUGAUUCUCCCACCUCAGCCUUGUGAGUAACCGGGACUACAGGCACGUGCCACCAUACCUAGCUAUUUUUUUUGUUUGUUUGUUUGUUUUAGAGACAAGGUCUCAUUAUAUUGCCCAAGCUGGUCUUGAACUCCUAGGCUCAAGUGAUCCUCCUGCCUUACCCUUCCAACGUGCUGGGAUUAUAGGUGUGAGCCGCCAUGUAUCCUGACAAAUCUUUCUUUUUACUACUCCUUUAAGUGGGACCUGUAGUUGACCCAAUACUCUGAACCGAAUAUAUUCACCUGAGAGAGAAAAAAAAAAAAAACUCUGCCACAAAUAAAGCAAAACUGUAACAAGAAGCCUUGGUCACAUUUGUUGAAGACUAGCAUACUGCUGGCUAGUCUGUCCAGAUAUCUGAGAAUGGAUUAAAUGGCUUUCUGCUGUUCUUUUUAGGAUCAAGAUGCUAUGAAAAGCUUUAGUAUUUGAUACAUUUCAAGGGAGAAAAGGCUGAGUUUACUUAUUUUGAAAUGCUAUGUGUCUUUGUACUUAGGUGAAUACAUGUGAGUAUAUUUUAAAUUAAAUUCCUUUCAACUAUUUCAACUAUUUUUACAGACAUCAUUUACUGAGAGGACAAAUGGGUAAUAUAAUAAAAAUUGCCAUGGGUGGAGGUGAAAUGUUGUAACUUACAAGCAGUAAUUUAUCUUCCUGCUGGCAUGUCAGGAUAUGGUGAUGACUACACUUGUUGUUCAAAUUAUUUCCUAGUAACAACCUCAAAGGAAACCAUGUUGAGUCUGAAACCAUCUUGCAUUUGAAAGCCUGUGUGGCCUUCUUACAGAUCACAUUUUCAAAGAGGUCAGAAGUCAAUGUAUAUGUAGAAUUUCAGACACUGUACCAUCUUCCACAGGGAUUACACUCAGAGGCCUAAACAUGUCACAGGAAAAGUUGUUAGACUGUUUAAAGAAAAUCAACAACCAGGCACAGUGGCUCAUGCCUGUAAUCCCAGCACUUUGAGAGGCCAAGGCAGGCGGAUCACUUGAGGUCAGACAUUCGACACUAGCCUGGCCAACAUGGUGAAACCCCGUCUCUACUAAAAAUCCAAAAAUAAGCCGGGCAUGGUGGUGGCGCAUGCCUGUAAUCCCAGUUACUCAGGAGGCUGAGGCAGGAGAAUCGCUUGAACCCGGGAGGCGGAGGUUGCAGUGAGCUGAGAUCGUGCCACUGCACUCUGGCCUGGAUGACAAUGAGACUCUGUCUCAAAAAAAAGAAAAAAAAAGAAAAGAAAAUCAACUGGAAGAGGGUAAAAGGAAGCAAAAUCUCUCUGCAACAUUGGGGAGUGAAUUUGCACAAAGGACGUUCCAAAACAUCCAUGAAGUUGACUGGAAAAAAAAAUAGAAAUACAAAUGUAAAGUUUAAAGGAGCCCAUGAACCUAAGGAAACAGAUACUGGGGAUUUUUGAGCUGAAUACAAAACCUCUGAGAAGCAAAAGAAAAAAUAUGUUUGCCAAGAGGCGUCCUUUCCAUAUCUAAAGCAAAACCCACAAAUACCCAUGAGUAAUAUCAUGCAGGUUAUGAAGUUCCUAUGCAAAACCAGCAACAUUUUCAUAAACCAGAAUUGUUGGAACAGUUGCAGAUAUUCAUUUAAAAAAAUCUGACUGUAUAACAGCUCUGAAACGCAAAGCUAGGCCACAAAAGUACAUUUCACCACAUAUGUCAAUUUUCUUGAACCCUCUCACUAUCAGAGUUGCCCAGGUUUUAAAGUUCCAAAGUUAGUAAAGAGACUGUGAAUCAGACACUAAAAUAUGUUCUUCUACUUUGUACUGUAGCAAUGCCAUAUUUAAGAAAAAUAUGAAAAUGAAACCAAAAAGCAAACAAGAUUGUGGAAUUCCCUGACAUUGUAUUAUAUUUUACCAGCAGCCUCUGUAUUACACACUGGAAUAGCUUAAAUGUGUCUUUUUCAAUUAAUUUCCCUUUUUUUCCAGAAGAAUAAAGAAGUACAUUUAUUACAGUAAAUAAAGU
rnacentral:lncRNA from 1 species